CAAUCAGUUACCUGGCAACGUCUUGUAACCUCGUGAAAGAUAGUUCCACUUGCAGUAGCCGCUAAGUUUGCUUUUUGCUCUUAUAUUUAUAAAGAGAGUUUAUUAAAUGUAUCUACGGUAGUGUAAUUAACAUGUAAGCGAGGUAAGUGGCUGCCAGAUAUCUAUAAAUAUUGUAAAAACAUAAUCGUUAAACAGAUUGAGAACAGCGCGGUAGCAGUAGUCAAAUGAAGCUAAUGAGAAUGAUUACAACACGGAAAGAAGCCUGUUAGCAUUUCCGAGUGCUACUCAGAAUUGUUAAACUUGGCUUUAAAGGGUAAAGUAAUGAAGAAAUUCAAAGUAAACAAUGUGUCCUGUGCUGAAGACGGACAUGCUAAAUGAGCUGUGUUUGAGCUAACUAGCUGUAACGUUAACAGUUAUAUUGUAUAGCAAAAAAGACUCGGAAAUUUCAAUUUGAGCAGAAAGACAGUCGAAGAUGCCUGUGUGAGAUCCCACCCUCACUACUGCGCACGCAGAGAAAUCAUCAACCAUGGCCGUCUCUGCCAUCAGGAAUUGGUGGAACUCCUACCAAAUGGACAAAUCUGACUCUAAUGACUCCAACACAGAGGAAGAUGAGGGGGAGUUAGCAGGGAGGAAGCAGUUAUCCAUAAACCUAAAUCAGACACUGCGGACCAGGCAGCUGCUCAUAGACUUUGAUGGUGGCCGUCCUAUUUUGAGUCUCAGGGCACCACUGGACCUGGUUAACUUCCCAUCUAUCUCCCGCCCCCGUUGGCCUGUAGAGUGUGAGGUCAUCAGCGACAUUGUACAUCACAUAGAGUGGGAACCACCAGAGCCAGAGCCUUUCUACCAGCCCACAGGACAUGAGAGGACCCCCAUGCCUGCUGGAGAGGACAGGGGGAAAGUGGUAUUCUGCAUCGACCAUGCCACUAAGCAUCCCUUUUUCACCUACUCUCGUGUCGGAGGAUCCAGGGGGCCAAUUAAGAGCGCCACUUUUUACGACACCAAUCAAACAGACUUCAUCCUUGAGUUUGAGUCAAGAUUUGAGAGUGGGAACCUUCAGAAGGCUGUGCAAGUUGGCGUCUAUGAUUAUGAGCUCACCCUGCGCACAGACCUGUACACCAGGAAGCACACGCAGUGGUUUUACUUCAGGGUCAGGAACAUGAAGGCCGGAGUGACCUACCGCUUCACUAUUGUCAACCUGAUGAAGAGCAGCAGCCUGUAUUCUCAGGGGAUGAGACCACUGCUCUACUCAGAGAGGGCUGCCAAGGAGAAAGGUCUUGGAUGGCAGCGUACCGGCUCCAAUAUCAGAUACUACCGCAACUACAAUCAGAAUACAAAGGACAACAACAACGACACCAUCCCCCUGUACUCACUCACCUGGACUCUCCAGUUCCCUCAUGAAUCAGACACCUGCUACCUGGCCCACUGCUACCCCUACACUUAUUCACACCUGCAGAGCUAUCUUAGGCGCAUUUCCACUGACUCCGCAGUUGCAGCGUACUGUAAGUUGCGGGUGCUGUGCCACACCCUUGCUGGGAAUGCAGUUUACGUGGUGACAGUAACGUCCCCAGGGUUCGGCAAGGUGGAGGGCAGGACCAAGAAAGCUGUGGUUGUGACGGCCCGAGUGCAUCCCGGAGAAACAAACGGGUCCUGGAUGAUGGAGGGGUUCCUGGACUUCCUGCUCGGGGACUCGGAUGACGCUCAGCUACUCAGGGACACUUUUGUUUUUAAGGUGGUGCCCAUGCUGAACCCAGAUGGUGUGGUGGUGGGAAAUUACCGCUGCUCUCUGGCAGGCAGGGACCUCAACAGAAAUUACAAGACUUUGCUCAAGGAUUCCUUUCCCUGUGUUUGGCACACUCACAACUUGGUGGAAAGGCUGAUGGCUGAGACAGAUGUAGUUCUUUACUGUGACUUUCAUGGCCACAACCGUAAAAACAAUGUCUUCAUGUACGGUUGUAACAACGAAGGUGAUGCUUCACUGAAGCUUCAUGAGAGAAUCUUUCCACUAAUGAUGAGCAAGAAUGCCAGCAACAAGUUCUCCUUCAAGAGCUGUAAGUUUCGGGUGCAGAAGAGCAAAGAGGGAACAGGGCGAAUUGCCAUGUGGAGACUCGGCAUCAGAAACAGCUACACGAUGGAGGCCACCUUUGGAGGCUCCACGCUAGGUGACAGGAAAGGAACACAUUUUACUACUCAAGACCUGAAGUCUCUGGGCUUUUACUUUUGUGACAGCUUGCUGGACUACUGUGACCCUGAUCCAACGAAGACCACUUAUUGUCUGACAGAGCUGGCAGCAUUGUUGAGAAAGGAGGUCAGAGAGAGGCUGGGCAAAGAUUUGGGCACUGACUGUAACAUCUCUGUCUCUGAUUUGGAAACCAGCACCAGUGGUUCAAAUAGUUCAGAUUCUGACGGACUCCCAGUUCAUUUGCUCAACCAGCCACAAACUGUCCAUCCAGAGCAAACUGCAGCGAAGAAGAAAAAGAAACGCCUGAGGAGUCGUAAAGAGAGGAACAGGUUGCGGCCAGAGAGAGGAAAGAAUAACACACAGCCACAGGAGUCUAACCUUCCCCAUGAGAAGAUAGUCAAAGAGAGCGGUAAAGAGGGGCCUGUUGGACGACAAAAGAAAAAAUGGCAGCUACAUAAUCCAAUGAGAAAAAGUGGGAUCCCUGCUGCCACCGCUCAUUCUGGGGAGAUCAGUCAGGUGACUCUGUGGCAGGGAUGUGAGCCUGUCAAGGAUGAUUGUCUGGGAGACCUGCAUCACCAGGCAAGGGCAUGUCCACAUCACAGCCUGUGUGCAGCUGUGACACCUCACACAGCAGACGCAGGGACGCACUCAGGACAGCAGAGAUACUCUUCUCAGCUGCUGCACCUAAGUGCUCGCAUUCCACCGAAUUUCACACAUUCCUCACAGCAGCAGCAUCACUGCCCCCAACAGUCUCUUGUCUCCUAUAAAGUCUUCAGAGGGCUGCCACCCUCCCUUGCAGGACCUCACAGGUCUCCCUCAUCCAUGUUCGUCAAGAUGAUCCCAGACAUUGUUCCAACAAAGCGCCUGCUGUCAAGCCUCACCACCAACAACUUCAACGGCCGGCGUAUUUACAGAGACAGAAAUACUUUACGGGUGUCAGAAGGUUACUUUGUGCCUGAGGAUUCAUCCACCUCACAUGCAGACAUGAACAAAACCAAACGGCAGACUGAGGAACAAGAAGGGGUUUCCACACAAGUUGGCUUGUCAUUGUUGAGAUGUAUACCAUUUGGAGAGCAGAACCAGAGAGAUCUCACCCUGAGACAACCUGAACCAGGCAGCAGUCUGUUUGUGCCUGCACUGAGGGGCGCAGACCUACAGGGAAAUAGACUAUACAAGGGGAAUUUAGGAGACAGAAGGAAAAAAGGUGUUUUACCCCCUCUGUCAAAGCCCUCAGGCUUCAUGAAGUUGGAACAUCCACAGAGUGACACCCUUGGUAGGCUUCAGGCCAAGGACAUGAGGCACUAUCGCUCUAGAGGAGAAAUUCCAAUAAGUACAGUUCCUGAGGAGUCCAUGGUCACAAGACCAUCACGGUCUGCCCCACUGUAGGGCACAAUAUUUAUAAUAUGGGCUCUACAUAUUGAUUUUUAUUCUCUCUAGUCUCUGGCCGAUGAAGUGAACCUCUUCUGAUGAAUGAAGAAGAAUAUGAUUUUCAUUAGAACUUCAACAGAUAUGCUGGGAUAUAAUCAUCCAUUCUCACAGACAUCAUGAUGCAGGUCAAACUUGUGUCAUAUGGAAAGAAGGAGAGAAGUGAAAUCCAUUAGUAAAAGUCUUAAAAAUGUUGAUAUUGGUAGGGACAAGACUUUGAUGACAAAUCUUCAUGCCUGGAUUCUCAGAGUACAUCACAAAGUCUGUGACACAGUACAUUAACUGCCUAAUGAAUGAUACACAGGCUGUGUGUAAUAUAGAUUUGAUUUAUUUGCAACACUGCAAAAACAACAUCCCAUGGAAUAUAAUGUUAAUAAAAUACAAAAACGUUCAA